rnacentral:lncRNA from 1 species
AGAGGAUUCCUACAUGGAGUGGGAGACUGAAAUAAUAACCUCAAAGAUGCCUUCCAAUCAGAAGAUUUGGUGAUUCUUUCUGAGUUAUCAAACUGCCUUCCUUUGACCUUGCUCACAUGUAGAAAUCCAAGUCAGCGCAGCUUAACUUGGACUCACCACCUAUCAAGUGCUCGACAGCCACGUGUGCAGUGGUUCCUACGUGGAGCAGCAUACAUCCAGAGAUGCAAAUAUUAAUGAGGACAGUGCUAGUAACAGAGUUGCUGAGCAAUCUAUGUCCCCUUGUAAGAACCAGUGCCCCAGGGGAAGAAACAGAACUCCACAAGGUAGCAGUGUGGGUGUAGUACCCGCAUGUGCCCAUGUUAUGGGAAUGUAGAUGGGGAGUGACCACCGCCAACAGAAGUGUGGCCAUCUUGCCCGAGAUGCCUGAGGACCUCCUAUUUUUAGAUGCUGCUGCCCAAGGCCUGUAUUUCAUGCUAUGGCUUUUGUCAUUUGAAUUAUCAGUAGCUGUCUCGGAGCUAUUACGCUUCACUGGGCCCUGGAGGAUAUUGUCUUAUACAG